GGCUGCGAAAAUUUCUCGCCGGAGAUCCGAUCUACAGCCACCAUUGUUGGAGCUCGGAGAGCACCACGACGCCGGUAAUUCCUCGCCGGAGUUUUCGUCGGAGUUCACCAUAGCCUGGAGCUCCAUUCACCCGUAGUUGCCACCUGAGAGAGAGGAACACGACGGAAAAUACACAACUGUGACCGCUGUUGUCCGUUGCAUCUCGUCGUCCACUUCGCCGCCGCCAAGAACCGUCGGAACCGUCGCCAAGUUCAUCGUCUGAGCGGUCGCCGCCACCGUCGUCCAUUGAUUCCGAUUGUCCGGAGUGCAACGAGUGCGACUGCGGUGAUUGUCUGAACAACAACGAAGGCAAGUGUCACACACCGUUCUGUCCUACUAUUUUUCUAUGCACUUUGUAGUUAUUUUCAGUAGCUAUCCAUGUGUAGGAUUGUUUUAAAAAUAUAUAUUGCUAUGCUAUGAACACCUAUUAGAACAACCACAUGUUCAACACUUGAUUCUUUUGUGGCCACCGUAUUGUUGUUUGCUUAGCAAUGC